rnacentral:rRNA from 1 species
AGUUCGGAUUGUAGUCUGCAACCCGACUACAUGAAGCUGGAAUCGCUAGUAAUCGCGAAUCAGAAUGUCGCGGUGAAUACGUUCCCGGGUCUUGUACACACCGCCCGUCACACCAUGAGAGUUGGCAAUACCCAACGUACGUGAUCUAACCCGCAAGGGAGGAAGCGUCCUAAGGUAGGGUCAGCGAUUGGGGUGAAGUCGUAACAAGGUAAC